rnacentral:rRNA from 1 species
UGGGGAAUAUUGCGCAAUGGGGGCAACCCUGACGCAGCGACGCCGCGUGCGGGAGGAAUGCCCUCGGCCGCAGACCGCUUUCGGCGGGGACGAAUCACGACGGUACCCGCGGAAGAAGCCCCGGCUAACUACGUGCC